UACCUACGGGGGGCAGCAGUGGGGAAUAUUGCACAAUGGGGGAAACCCUGAUGCAGCGACGCCGCGUGGGUGACGAAGUAUUUCGGUAUGUAAAGCUCUAUCAGCAGGGAGGAAAGAAAUGACGGUACCUGACUAAGAAGCCCCGGCUAACUACGUGCCAGCAGCCGCGGUAAUACGUAGGGGGCAAGCGUUAUCCGGAUUUACUGGGUGUAAAGGGAGCGUAGACGGCGAUGCAAGUCUGAAGUGAAAGGCGGGUGCCCAACCCCCGGAC
rnacentral:rRNA from 1 species